AUUUAUGCCCUGUUUGGUAAUCUUGAUUUGAUUUCAAAUCCUGUAUUUGUUCAAAUCCACUGUUUGGCAAACUUUAUAAUAUCUGGAUUUGGAUUUGUCCAAUUCCAUCAGAUUAAAACAAAAGCCAAAAUUAAAUAAUUGGAAAUGCCGGUCAGAGAUAUGUCAUUUGAAAUUAAAAAAACAGAACACGCGCAGCUCCUUCGCUCCUCGCCACGCCUCGCUCUCGCUCCUCGGUCCUCUUCUCUCCCGUCAUCCUCCGGUCUCGAAGAACCCCAAUGCUUCCAACUAUCAGAACAAGAGCAUUGAUAAUUGGGAUGAUAUAUGCACUCUAUUUGCAUCAGAUAGAUUAACUGGUGAGAGUGCUGAGCAAUAUGAAGAAUCAGCAGCUGCAAUGGAGAUGGAGAAUGAACUUGGCAGCGGCGGUGCCGGUUUAGAGGCAGCUUCCGGGGAGUCAAACAAGAAGGUCAAAAGAGAUCGUCUUGCAGAUGCAGUGACUAAGUUUGCCGAGUCUUUCUGUGAGUAUGUGAGUAAAGCACGUGGCCCUCCAAGACCCUCUAGCAAAGAGAUAUAUGAUGUCAUAUCUGUUGUUCCUUAUAUUUUUCGGAUGCAAAUCCGGAAAGGCGUGAAAAGUUUUAUGAAUGGCACAAUCGACAUGUUUGAAAUGCUUAAGAAGCCUGCCGGAUACUGAUAAAUUAGAUUGGGUUUUGUUACACAUUGAUGACUAAUUAGAAUAUUUUAUCUUAGACUUUAUUUGUAAUUUUGAAUGAGAUUAAAUAUCUAUCUAUUUCAAAAUAUUAUUUAGAUAAA